rnacentral:rRNA from 1 species
UACCUAAACGUUGCUUCGGCGGGAACAGACGGCCCCGUGAAACGGGCCGCCCCCGCCAGAGGACCCCCUAACUCUGUUGCUAUAUGUAUCUUCUGAGUAAACAAGCAAAUAAAUUAAAACUUUCAACAACGGAUCUCUUGGCUCUGGCAUCGAUGAAGAACGCAGCGAAAUGCGAUAAGUAAUGUGAAUUGCAGAAUUCAGUGAAUCAUCGAAUCUUUGAACGCACAUUGCGCCCGCCAGUAUUCUGGCGGGCAUGCCUGUUCGAGCGUCAUUACAACCCUCAGGCCCCCGGGCCUGGCGUUGGGGAUCGGCGAGGCGCCCCCCUGCGGGCACGCGCCGUCCCCCAAAUACAGUGGCGGUCCCGCCGCAGCUUCCAUUGCGUAGUAGCUAACACCUCGCAACUGGAGAGCGGCGCGGCCAUGCCGUAAAACACCCAACUUCUGAAUGUUGACCUCGAAUCAGGUAGGAAUACCCGCUGAACUUAAGCAUAUCAUA